rnacentral:rRNA from 1 species
UUAUAGUACCGAAGUUCCUGAUUCCACACUGCCAAGAAAAGCCUCUAGCGAGAUAAAAGGUGCCCGUACCGCAAACCGACACAGGUAGGCGAGGAGAGAAUCCUAAGGUGAGCGAGAGAACUCUCGUUAAGGAACUCGGCAAAAUGACCCCGUAACUUCGGGAGAAGGGGUGCUUUUUGGGGUGAAUAGCCCCGAAGAGCCGCAGUGAAUAGGCCCAGGCGACUGUUUAGCAAAAACACAGGUCUCUGCAAAGCCGCAAGGCGAAGUAUAGGGGCUGACGCCUGCCCGGUGCUGGAAGGUUAAGAGGAGGGGUUAGCGCAAGCGAAGCUCUGAAUCGAAGCCCCAGUAAACGGCGGCCGUAACUAUAACGGUCCUAAGGUAGCGAAAUUCCUUGUCGGGUAAGUUCCGACCCGCACGAAAGGCGUAACGAUCUGGGCACUGUCUCAACGAGAGACUCGGUGAAAUUAUAGUACCUGUGAAGAUGCAGGUUACCCGCGACAGGACGGAAAGACCCCAUGGAGCUUUACUGUAGCCUGAUAUUGAAUUUUGGUACAGCUUGUACAGGAUAGGUAGGAGCCGUAGAAACCGGAGCGCCAGC